rnacentral:rRNA from 1 species
AUUGAACGCUGGCGGCAGGCCUAACACAUGCAAGUCGAGCGGAUGAAGGGAGCUUGCUCCUGGAUUCAGCGGCGGACGGGUGAGUAAUGCCUAGGAAUCUGCCUGGUAGUGGGGGAUAACGUCCGGAAACGGGCGCUAAUACCGCAUACGUCCUGAGGGAGAAAGUGGGGGAUCUUCGGACCUCACGCUAUCAGAUGAGCCUAGGUCGGAUUAGCUAGUUGGUGGGGUAAAGGCCUACCAAGGCGACGAUCCGUAACUGGUCUGAGAGGAUGAUCAGUCACACUGGAAAUGAGACCCGGUCCAGACUCCUACGGGAGGCCGCAGUGGGGAAUAUUGGACCAUGGGCGAAAGCCUGAUCCAGCCAUGCCGCGUGUGUGAAGAAGGUCUUCGGAUUGUAAAACACUUUAAGUUGGGAGGAAGGGCAGUAAGUUAAUACCUUGCUGUUUUGACGUUACCAACAGAAUAAGCACCGGCUAACUUCGUG